CUCUCUCUUUCUCUCUUUUGUUCCUUUUCUUUUUUUCUUCUCUCCAGAAAAUAGGAUCAUCACUUUGAAGAUAUGUCAUCUAAUCGUCGACGAAAUACAAAUCCUUCCAGACGAGCAAAUCCAAGUGAAAUUACAACUCCUCCUACAGAAACAACAGUACGGAACAAAGACAAGUACAAAUGGUCGCACAUCCAAGAAAAAACAUUAAUUCAAUUGUUUGACGAAGCAAUUGCCAUGUCUAAUUACACUCUUAAAAAUCCUACUGCGAUUGGUAGAGAGUAUAUGGUUAAAAAGUUCAAUCAAGCGUUCAACAUGGAUAUAACUUAUGGUUUCUUCAAAAACAAGCUGGAUGAAUUCAAAAAAAACUAUAAAAGAUGGAAGGUUCUUAUGCAUAAAACUGGGAUAACGGUUGAUCCUGAUACAUCUAUGAUAUAUGCAUCUGAAUUAUGGUGAGCGGACCAAGAGUUUGUAAGUACACAUUAUCCUUUUGCAUAUCAACUUAUGUAUAAAAAUUUAGGUUUUAAAACUAAUCCACUUUAAUUUUAGGGCUGCAAAUUAACAAAAAGCUUUAACCGAAAACCGCCUGAGUUUUGGGAUGUGAUGAAACGAUGUCUCGCAUUACAUGAUGUUCAAUCACAAUCUCAACACUCCUCUCGUCAAAGAAGAGAACAAUUGCUUAACGAGCAUGGAGAUGGAGAUGAGAAUCUUUAUGACUCAGAUGCCGAAAGUGAUGACGAACCACAAACACAAGUUCCUGAGACACAAGAAGAAGAAGAAGAAGUGUAUCAUGUUACUAUUGAUGACGAUGAAACCUUACAACACUCCGCUCCCAGAACCCAACAACGAAGUAGACUAAAUUUGCAGUCGACUGCUAGACGUGGGAGUAACAUACAAGAUCUAGGGGAAGCUCUCGAGUAUCUAUUG